GUGUUCUGUCUUCGCAAAUGGGCCUAACGUCUCUUGGGUUAAUGUUUUAGUUGAUUGAGUUUGGCCAUCUUCUCUGUUUCUGAUGUCUUCUUGCUCACAUGACUUUUGAAAUCUCUUCAUGUCAAUCCAUUUGCCAAUAAUCCAAUCUGCUUUGUUAUCAUUUUUUUUCUUUGUUUCAACUUUCAAUGCUAAGUUGAUUGUUGUCAUG